rnacentral:misc_RNA from 1 species
GGUGGAUAGAUUUUAUAAACAUUUAAGAGAAUGUCUAAUGUUUAUUUUAUGUGCAGUAUUUAUCUAAAAUUUCUUUAAUACGUUUUUUAAGGGCAUUUAUGCGAAAGUAUUAUUUUACAUUAUUUGUAGUGUUUAUCCAGAAUUCUUUUACUGCAUUUUAUUAAAUAUAUUUUAUUCAAGCUUACAGCAGCAAGAACAACUCAAAGGAUGUCAGGUGCUAGCUCCUCUCGAAUUCCUUCGCAAGCACACCCUCAUCAUUCUAACUUCAUCAUCAACCUCGAUCUAGAAACACUAAUCUAAAUCAGUCUUCCAUUUAUCUUGAAAACUUCCCACCCGAUUGGAAUGCAAGGUCCCUAUGGCAUUACUUCUCGCAUUUAGACAACAUAAU